rnacentral:rRNA from 1 species
GACGAACCGUGCGAACGUUGUUCGGAAUCACUGGGCUUAAAGGGCGCGUAGGCGGGCUGCCGAGUCCGGGGUGAAAGCCCCCGCUCAACGGGGGAACGGCCUCGGAUACUGGCGGCCUGGAGGCGGGUAGGGGCGUGCGGAACUGUGGGUGGAGCGGUGAAAUGCGUUGAGAUCCACAGGAACUCCGGUGGCGAAGGCGGCACGCUGGACCCGAUCUGACGCUGAGGCGCGAAAGCCAGGGAGCGAACGGG